AUUGAACGCUGGCGGCAGGCCUAACACAUGCAAGUCGAGCGGAUGAGUGGAGCUUGCUCCAUGAUUCAGCGGCGGACGGGUGAGUAAUGCCUAGGAAUCUGCCUGGUAGUGGGGGACAACGUUUCGAAAGGAACGCUAAUACCGCAUACGUCCUACGGGAGAAAGCAGGGGACCUUCGGGCCUUGCGCUAUCAGAUGAGCCUAGGUCGGAUUAGCUAGUAGGUGAGGUAAUGGCUCACCUAGGCGACGAUCCGUAACCGGUCUGAGAGGAUGAGCAGUCACACUGGAACUGAGACACGGUCCAGCCUCCUACGGGAGGCAGCAGUGGGGAAUAUUGGACAAUGGGCGAAAGCCUGAUCCAGCCAUGCCGCGUGUGUGAAGAAGGUCUUCGGAUUGUAAAGCACUUUAAGUUGGGAGGAAGGGCAGUAAGUUAAUACCUUGCUGUUUUGACGUUACCAACAGAAUAAGCACCGGCUAACUUCGUGCCAGCAGCCGCGGUAAUAC
rnacentral:rRNA from 1 species